GACUUCGCUGAACACAUAUAUAUUUGUGUUUCAAAACUGUAACACAUAUCACAAAAAUUGUAUCGUCAGUGUAAAUGCCGUUUGUGUGUGAAAUAUGCAAAAAAUGUCACUUUCACUGAUGAUAUAAUCAUUGUGAUACAUUUUACUGUUUUGAAACACUAAUAUUUGUGUUCAGCGAAGUC